rnacentral:rRNA from 1 species
UACGUAGGGGGCUAGCGUUGUCCGGAAUCAUUGGGCGUAAAGAGCGUGUAGGCGGUCCGGUAAGUCCGACUGUGAAAGUCAGGGGCUCAACCCUGAAUGCCGGUUGGAUACUGUCGGGCUAGAGUCCGGAAGAGGCGAGUGGAAUUCCCGGUGUAGCGGUGAAAUGCGCAGAUAUCGGGAGGAACACCAAUGGCGAAGGCAGCUCGCUGGGACGGUACUGA